UACAGAGGGUGCGAGCGUUAAUCGGAGUUACUGGGCGUAAAGGGCGCGUAGGUGGCCUGUGGAAGUCUGCGGUGAAAGCCCGGCGCUCAACGCCGGGUCGGCCGUGGAUACUCUCGGGCUUGAGCUUACUAGAGGCAGAUGGAAUUCCGGGUGUAGCGGUGGAAUGCGUAGAGAUCCGGAAGAACACCGGUGGCGAAGGCGGUCUGCUGGGGUAAUGCUGACACUGAUGCGCGACAGCGUGGGGAGCAAACAGG
rnacentral:rRNA from 1 species